rnacentral:rRNA from 1 species
UGAGGAAUAUUGGUCAAUGGGCGAGAGCCUGAACCAGCCAAGUAGCGUGCAGGAUGACGGCCCUAUGGGUUGUAAACUGCUUUUAUAUGGGAAUAAAGUGAGGGACGUGUCCCUUAUUGCAUGUACCAUACGAAUAAGGACCGGCUAAUUCCGUGCCAGCAGCCGCGGUAAUACGGAAGGUCCAGGCGUUAUCCGGAUUUAUUGGGUUUAAAGGGAGCGUAGGCUGUUUGUUAAGCGUGUUGUGAAAUGUAAGAGCUCAACUUUUAGAUUGCAGCGCGAACUGGCAGACUUGAGUGCGCACAACGUAGGCGGAAUUCAUGGUGUAGCGGUGAAAUGCUUAGAUAUCAUGACGAACUCCGAUUGCGAAGGCAGCUUACGGGAGCGCAACUGACGCUCAAGCUCGAAGGUGCGGGUAUCGAACAGG